UCAAUGAUCUAUGAGGAAAAAGGCGUAAAUCAAGGAAAACAAAAAGAAAGAGGAACGAAAGAGAGUUGGAGAGAACGAAAGAGAGUUCGAGAGAAUGAAGGAACUGUGGUGGUCGGAUCUUCGUGCUACGGCGUCUUUACGAUGGUUGAGAAUCAAGUUGAGGAUGAAGAUUUGAUGAUAAAGAUGUAUGUCAUGGUGUUGAUGAAAAUACAUGAUGAUGUAGUAUUGAGAGUGGAGUUGAUGUUGAUGAAGAUUCAAGGAGUAUGAAGCAAUUGAAGAGAAGCUUUUAUGCAGAGAGAAUCUUUGGUUGAAGAUUAAAGAAGAAAUCAGAGCGAAUAUGAGAGCUCCUUUUGGUGAUUCUGCUAAUGAUUGAAGAAUGAACGUGAUUGCAAGGAUGAGAGAAAUAUGAUUGGUCCAUGGCAAGAAGAAGAAGAAUUUGUGGCCUGACUUAGAAAAGAAUUGAGCAUGGAGCGAAGCUUGAAGAAGAAGAAGUCUUAGAAGAAUCAAACUCAAGAGCAU